rnacentral:rRNA from 1 species
AACCGGAUUAGAUACCCUGGUAGUCCACGCCGUAAACGAUGUCGACUUGGAGGUUGUGCCCUUGAGGCGUGGCUUCCGGAGCUAACGCGUUAAGUCGACCGCCUGGGGAGUACGGCCGCAAGGUUAAAACUCAAAUGAAUUGACGGGGGCCCGCACAAGCGGUGGAGCAUGUGGUUUAAUUCGAUGCAACGCGAAGAACCUUACCUGGUCUUGACAUCCACAGAACUUUCCAGAGAUGGAUUGGUGCCUUCGGGAACUGUGAGACAGGUGCUGCAUGGCUGUCGUCAGCUCGUGUUGUGAAAUGUUGGGUUAAGUCCCGCAACGAGCGCAACCCUUAUCCUUUGUUGCCAGCGGUCCGGCCGGGAACUCAAAGGAGACUGCCAGUGAUAAACUGGAGGAAGGUGGGGAUGACGUCAAGUCAUCAUGGCCCUUACGACCAGGGCUACACACGUGCUACAAUGGCGCAUACAAAGAGAAGCGACCUCGCGAGAGCAAGCGGACCUCAUAAAGUGCGUCGUAGUCCGGAUUGGAGUCUGCAACUCGACUCCAUGAAGUCGGAAUCGCUAGUAAUCGUGGAUCAGAAUGCCACGGUGAAUACGUUCCCGGGCCUUGUACACACCGCCCGUCACACCAUGGGAGUGGGUUGCAAAAGAAGUAGGUAGCUUAACCUUCGGGAGGGCGCUUACCACUUUGUGAUUCAUGACUGGGGUGAAGUCGUAACAAGGUAACC